rnacentral:rRNA from 1 species
GACGAACGCUGGCGGCGUGCUUAACACAUGCAAGUCGAGCGGUAAGGCCCUUUCGGGGGUACGACGAGCGGCGAACGGGUAGAGUAACACGUGGGUGACCUGCCCUCCAGCUCUGGGAGUAAGCCUCGGGAAACCGGGUACUAAUACUGGAUAUGACUCCAUGACGCAUGUUGGUGGGGUGGAAAGCCUUGUGCGGCUGAGGAUGGGCCCGCCGGCCUAUCAGCUUGUUGGUGGGGUGANGGCCUACCAAGGCGACGACGGGUAGCCGGCCUGAGAGGGCGACCGGCCACACUGGGACUGAGACACGGCCCAGACUCCUACGGGAGGCAGCAGGUGGGGAAUCUUGCGCAAUGGGCGAAAGCCUGACGCAGCGACGCCGCGU